AGUUUGAUCCUGGCUCAGGAUGAACGCUAGCUACAGGCUUAACACAUGCAAGUCGAGGGGAAACGACAUCGAAAGCUUGCUUUUGAUGGGCGUCGACCGGCGCACGGGUGAGUAACGCGUAUCCAACCUGCCCACCACUUGGGGAUAACCUUGCGAAAGUAAGACUAAUACCCAAUGACGUCUCUAGAAGACAUCUGAAAGGGAUUAAAGAUUUAUCGGUGAUGGAUGGGGAUGCGUCUGAUUAGCUUGUUGGCGGGGUAACGGCCCACCAAGGCGACGAUCAGUAGGGGUUCUGAGAGGAAGGUCCCCCACAUUGGAACUGAGACACGGUCCAAACUCCUACGGGAGGCAGCAGUGAGGAAUAUUGGUCAAUGGACGAGAGUCUGAACCAGCCAAGUAGCGUGCAGGAAGACGGCCCUAUGGGUUGUAAACUGCUUUUAUAAGGGAAUAAAGUGAGUCUCGUGAGACUUUUUGCAUGUACCUUAUGAAUAAGGACCGGCUAAUUCCGUGCCAGCAGCCGCGGUAAUACGGAAGGUCCGGGCGUUAUCCGGAUUUAUUGGGUUUAAAGGGAGCGUAGGCCGGAGAUUAAGCGUGUUGUGAAAUGUAGACGCUCAACGUCUGCACUGCAGCGCGAACUGGUUUCCUUGAGUACGCACAAAGUGGGCGGAAUUCGUGGUGUAGCGGUGAAAUGCUUAGAUAUCACGAAGAACUCCGAUUGCGAAGGCAGCUCACUGGAGCGCAACUGACGCUGAAGCUCGAAAGUGCGGGUAUCGAACAGGAUUAGAUACCCUGGUAGUCCGCACGGUAAACGAUGGAUGCCCGCUGUUGGUCUGAAUAGGCCAGCGGCCAAGCGAAAGCAUUAAGCAUCCCACCUGGGGAGUACGCCGGCAACGGUGAAACUCAAAUGAAUUGACGGA
rnacentral:rRNA from 1 species